AACCCCGAACGGUGGAUCACUCGGCUCGCGGAUCGAUGAAAAAACCGCAGCGAACUGCGAGUCACAGUGUAAAAUGCAUUAUUUAUUGAACAGAUCAUCGACGCGUCGAACGCAUAUGGCGGCCCACUACGUGGGCCACGCCUGUCCGAGGGUCG
rnacentral:rRNA from 1 species